rnacentral:rRNA from 1 species
CAGUCGCCACGGUAAUACGAAGGGUGCAAGCGUUAAUCGGAAUUACUGGGCGUAAAGCGUGCGUAGGCGGUGAGUUAAGUCUGCUGUGAAAUCCCCGGGCUCAACCUGGGAAUGGCAGUGGAUACUGGCUCGCUAGAGUGUGUCAGAGGAUGGUGGAAUUCCCGGUGUAGCGGUGAAAUGCGUAGAGAUCGGGAGGAACAUCAGUGGCGAAGGCGGCCAUCUGGGACAACACUGACGCUGAGGCACGAAAGCGUGGGGAGCAAACAGGAUUAGAUACCCCCGUAGUCCAUGUCUCUUAUAC